GAUGAAGAACGUAGCGAAAUGCGAUACUUGGUGUGAAUUGCAGAAUCCCGUGAACCAUCGAGUCUUUGAACGCAAGUUGCGCCUGAAGCCAUUAGGCCGAGGGCACGCCUGCCUGGGUGUCACACGUCGUUGCCCCCCCAUCUACUCCUUCGGGAUUGCGGGGGGCGGAUGAUGGCCUCCCGUGCGCCUCGUCGCGCGGUUGGCAUAAAUGCCAAGUCCUCAGCGACGCACGCCACGACAAUCGGUGGUUGCGAAACCUCGGUUGCCCGUCGUGUGCGGUCGUCGCGCAUCGAGGGCUCGAAAAAAUUGCCGGGCUCCGGCUCGGCUUUCAACGCGACCCCAGGUCAGGCGGGGUUACCCGCUGAAUUUAAGCAUAUCAAUAAGCGGAGGA
rnacentral:misc_RNA from 1 species